AUUGAACGCUGGCGGCAGGCCUAACACAUGCAAGUCGAGCGGAGCGGCGGACGGGUGCGUAAUGCCUAGGAAUCUGCAUGGUAGUGGUGGAUAACGUACGGCAACGGGCGCUAAUACCGCAUAAUAUCAGUUGAGCCUAGGUCGGAUUAGCUAGUUGGGGGGGUAAUGGCCUACCAAGGCGACGAUCCGUAACUGGUCUGAGAGGAGGAUCAGUCAAACUGGAACUGAGACACGGCCAAGACUCUGCCGGGAGGAAGCGUGGGGGAUUUUUGGACAUGGGGCGAAAGCCUGAUCCGGCCAUGCCGCGUGUGGGAGAAAGGUCUUCGGAUGUAAAAGCCUUUUAAGUGGGGAGGCGGUACCAAAAUAGAAAGCACCGGCUAACUACGUGCCAGCAGCCGCGGUAAUUC
rnacentral:rRNA from 1 species